AUAGGUCUAUUGAAAUCAGGAAGUCCUUUGAGUUCACAUACUGGAAGGUCUUUCUUUUGAUGAGACAUCUGUGAGCACUCCUCUUUUUAGGAUGUCAGCUCUGAUUAUUUCAACGGGAGAGUUAGUUUAGCUAGAUUUAUUCAUCUUUUUUGGUUUUUAGAGGUAGGAUCUCUGUGAAACGGAGGCUAGCUAGUGAUUCUCUUGCCUCACAAAUGCUGGAAUUACAGGCAUGUACUAACAUACCAAGCAACAGUUUUGGAUUUAAUAAGAUUCAAACGCUAGGUGUGGAGAACAAUUUUUCCUCAAGUUCAAAGCAUCUCAAAGAAGAUAUGGAUAGACUAUUUGACGAGAUCGUGCUGCAGGUGUAUCCCAGCAAUCUA
rnacentral:lncRNA from 1 species